GUGCUUACUUUGGCAGCACAUGCACUAAAACUGGUACAGUAUAAAGAUCAGCAUGGCCUUAAGCAAGGACGACACACACACUUGUGAGGGGUCACAGAUUUUU